GGACUACUGGGGUUUCUAAUCCUGUUUGAUCCCCUUGCUUUCGCGCCUCAGCGUCAGGUCUAAAUUAGAAAACCGCCUUCGCCACCGGUGUUCUUCCACAUAUCUACGCAUUUCACCGCUACUUGUGGAAUUCCGUUUUCUCCAUCUAGCCUCUAGAAAGAUAGUUUCAAAUGCAGUUCCGGAGUUGAGCCCCGGGAUUUCACAUCUGACUUAGCUUCCAGCCUACGCGCCCUUUACGCCCAAUAAAUCCGAUUAAUGCUUGCACCCUCCGUAUUACCGCGGCGGCUGGCAC
rnacentral:rRNA from 1 species